rnacentral:rRNA from 1 species
CCAAUAGCGUAUAUUAAAGUUGUUGCAGUUAAAAAGCUCGUAGUUGAAUUUCGGGAUUGACGUGACGGUCGUGCCUUACGGGGUAUGAACUGUCGCCGUUGAUUUCUCACCUUCUGGAGAAGCUCGAUGUCCUUAAUUGGGUGUCUUGCGGAACCAGGACCUUUACCUUGAAAAAAUUAGAGUGUUUAAAGCAGGCAUUUUGCUCGAAUACAUUAGCAUGGAAUAAUAGAAUAGGACGGCAUGGUUCUAUUUUGUUGGUUUCUAGGAUCACCGUAAUGAUUAAUAGGGAUAGUUGGGGGCAUUAGUAUUCAAUUGUCAGAGGUGAAAUUCUUGGAUUUAUUGAAGACUAACUACUGCGAAAGCAUUUGCCAAGGAUGUUUUCAUUAAUCAAGAACGAAAGUUAGGGGAUCGAAGACGAUCAGAUACCGUCGUAGUCUUAACCAUAAACUAUGCCGACUAGGAAUCAGACGAUGUUAAUUUUUUAAUGACUCGUUUGGCACCUUACG